GGCCGCUUAGCACAGUGGCAGUGCACCGCUCUCGUAAAGCGGGGGUCGCGAGUUCAAUUCUCGCAGUGGCCU
rfam:Strigomonas culicis Cont12769, whole genome shotgun sequence.